rnacentral:sRNA from 1 species
AGUGGAUGACCUCAUGGAACUUAGUUAUUUAAAUGUACCAGCAGAUUUAUUCAUCCUGCAAUAUAGAUACAACCAAGAUAUGAUCUAUAGGAACUUUAAGUGGGUGGGACUCCGAAUUGAAGUGGUGAGGGUAGACUCGGAAAGACCGGGACAGCAAAAAUAGCAAUGCAAUACUUGGCUGCCCUUGGUGGAGGAAGCAGAAUAGAGAACGAGAUAUUAAAGACUAAUCCAAUACUAGAAGGCUUUGGUAAUGGAAAAACAGUUUCUUUCAAUUCAAUAUGGAUG